CAGGGAGACAACAAAAUGUUUAAUAUUAUUAUUUUGUCACCUUAGGUCGAUCGGUAUCUCACGUUUUUAAUUUAUUAAAAAUUUCAUUUCCUAAGUUUUUCUAGGUCACACCCAUUAUUUUCCUGGGCCAUUAGCUCAGGUGGUUAGAGCGCACCCCUGAUAAGGGUGAGGUCCCUGGUUCAAGUCCAGGAUGGCCCAUAUCUCUAUGUUGGGGGUAUAGCUCAGUUGGUAGAGCGCCUGCUUUGCAGGCAGGAUGUCAGCGGUUCGAGUCCGCUUACCUCCACUGAUUACCACCUCUUCCAUAAUCAAUAGAAGGGAAAAUUUUUUGAGUUGUGAUCAUAAUUCUGAACGAAUCUAGCUUCCUAAUGGAAAUCAUUAAGAUGCUGGACUCAUUGAAUUAAUUUCAUUGUUUUCAGAGAACCUUGACAACUGCAUAGAUUAUUUUAAAGACAAUAAGCAUCUUGAAUGAUGCAGAUUUAUUAUUUGUGCAAAUGCAUUAAUAACAAUUCUAUUAAGCUGAUGCUUCAAUUUUGAAGUUAUU
rnacentral:tRNA from 1 species